rnacentral:rRNA from 1 species
UAACCUGCCCAGAAGUAGGGGAUAACACCUGGAAACAGAUGCUAAUACCGUAUAACAGAGAAAACCGCAUGGUUUUCUUUUAAAAGAUGGCUCUGCUAUCACUUCUGGAUGGACCCGCGGCGUAUUAGCUAGUUGGUGAGGUAAAGGCUCACCAAGGCAGUGAUACGUAGCCGACCUGAGAGGGUAAUCGGCCACAUUGGGACUGAGACACGGCCCAGACUCCUACGGGAGGCAGCAGUAGGGAAUCUUCCACAAUGGACGCAAGUCUGAUGGAGCAACGCCGCGUGAGUGAAGAAGGGUUUCGGCUCGUAAAGCUCUGUUGUUAAAGAAGAACGUGGGUAAGAGUAACUGUUUACCCAGUGACGGUAUUUAACCAGAAAGCCACGGCUAACUACGUGCCAGCAGCCGCGGUAAUACGU